rnacentral:rRNA from 1 species
GCGCGAAACCUUUACACUGCACGAAGGUGCGAUAAGGGGACUCCGAGUGCGAGGGCAUACAGUCCUCGCUAUUGUGUACCGUAGGGUGGUACACGACCAAGAGCUGGGCAAGACCGGUGCCAGCCGCCGCGGUAAUACCGGCAGCUCGAGUGAUGGCCGAUUUUAUUGGGCCUAAAGCGUCCGUAGCUGGCCCUGCAAGUCCGUCGGGAAAUCCACUCGCCUAACGAGUGGGCGUCCGGCGGAAACUACAGGGCUUGGGACCGGAAGACUUGAGGGGUACGUCUGGGGUAGGAGUGAAAUCCUGUAAUCCUGGACGGACCGCCGAUGGCGAAAGCACCUCAAGACGACGGAUCCGACAGUGAGGGACGAAAGCUAGGGUCUCGAACCGGAUUAGAUACCCGGGUAGUCCUAGCCGUAAACGAUGUUCGCUAGAUGUGGCACAGGCUACGUGCCUGUGCUGUGUCGUAGGGAAGCCGAGAAGCG